rnacentral:rRNA from 1 species
CACCGAAGCUGCGGCAGCGACACUCAGGUGUUGUUGGGUAGGGGAGCGUUCUGUAAGCCUGCGAAGGUGGCCUGUGAGGGUUGCUGGAGGUAUCAGAAGUGCGAAUGCUGACAUAAGUAACGAUAAAGCGGGUGAAAAGCCCGCUCGCCGGAAGACCAAGGGUUCCUGUCCAACGUUAAUCGGGGCAGGGUGAGUCGACCCCUAAGGCGAGGCCGAAAGGCGUAGUCGAUGGGAAACGGGUUAAUAUUCCCGUACUUGGUGUUACUGCGAAGGGGGGACGGAGAAGGCUAUGUUGGCCGGGCGACGGUUGUCCCGGUUUAAGCGUGUAGGUGUGUGUUCCAGGUAAAUCCGGUUCACUUUAACACUGAGGCGUGACGACGAGGCACUACGGUGCUGAAGCAACAAAUGCCCUGCUUCCAGGAAAAGCCUCUAAGCAUCAGGUAACAUCAAAUCGUACCCCAAACCGACACAGGUGGUCAGGUAGAGAAUACCAAGGCGCUUGAGAGAACUCGGGUGAAGGAACUAGGCAAAAUGGUGCCGUAACUUCGGGAGAAGGCACGCUGACAUGUAGGUGAAGUGAUUUACUCAUGGAGCUGAAGUCAGUCGAAGAUACCAGCUGGCUGCAACUGUUUAUUAAAAACACAGCACUGUGCAAACACGAAAGUGGACGUAUACGGUGUGACGCCUGCCCGGUGCCGGAAGGUUAAUUGAUGGGGUCAGCGCAAGCGAAGCUCCUGAUCGAAGCCCCGGUAAACGGCGGCCGUAACUAUAACGGUCCUAAGGUAGCGAAAUUCCUUGUCGGGUAAGUUCCGACCUGCACGAAUGGCGUAAUGAUGGCCAGGCUGUCUCCACCCGAGACUCAGUGAAAUUGAACUCGCUGUGAAGAUGCAGUGUACCCGCGGCAAGACGGAAAGACCCCGUGAACCUUUACUAUAGCUUGACACUGAACAUUGAGCCUUGAUGUGUAGGAUAGGUGGGAGGCUUUGAAGUGUGGACGCCAGUCUGCAUGGAGCCGACCUUGAAAUACCACCCUUUAAUGUUUGAUGUUCUAACGUGGACCCGUGAUCCGGGUUGCGGACAGUGUCUGGUGGGUAGUUUGACUGGGGCGGUCUCCUCCUAAAGAGUAACGGAGGAGCACGAAGGUUGGCUAAUCCUGGUCGGACAUCAGGAGGUUAGUGCAAUGGCAUAAGCCAGCUUGACUGCGAGCGUGACGGCGCGAGCAGGUGCGAAAGCAGGUCAUAGUGAUCCGGUGGUUCUGAAUGGAAGGGCCAUCGCUCAACGGAUAAAAGGUACUCCGGGGAUAACAGGCUGAUACCGCCCAAGAGUUCAUAUCGACGGCGGUGUUUGGCACCUCGAUGUCGGCUCAUCACAUCCUGGGGCUGAAGUAGGUCCCAAGGGUAUGGCUGUUCGCCAUUUAAAGUGGUACGCGAGCUGGGUUUAGAACGUCGUGAGACAGUUCGGUCCCUAUCUGCCGUGGGCGCUGGAGAACUGAGGGGGGCUGCUCCUAGUACGAGAGGACCGGAGUGGACGCAUCACUGGUGUUCGGGUUGUCAUGCCAAUGGCACUGCCCGGUAGCUAAAUGCGGAAGAGAUAAGUGCUGAAAGCAUCUAAGCACGAAACUUGCCCCGAGAUGAGUUCUCCCUGAGACUUAGAGUCUCCUGAAGGAACGUUGAAGACGACGACGUUGAUAGGCCGGGUGUGUAAGCGCAGCGAUGCGUUGAGCUAACCGGUACUAAUGAACCGUGAGGCUUAACCUU